UACGAAGGGUGCAAACGUUGCUCGGAAUUAUUGGGCGUAAAGCGCACGUAGGCGGCAUUGCAAGUCGGAUGUGAAAUCCCUCGGCUUAACCAAGGAAGUGCAUCCGAAACUGCAGUGCUUGAGUACUUAAGAGGAUCGCGGAAUUCCCGGUGUAGAGGUGAAAUUCGUAGAUAUCGGGAGGAACACCAGUGGCGAAGGCGGCCUUCUGGACAGUGACUGACGCUGAGACGCGAAAGCGUGGGGAGCAAACAGG
rnacentral:rRNA from 1 species